rnacentral:tRNA from 3 species
CGCGGGGUGGAGCAGUCUGGUAGCUCGUCGGGCUCAUAACCCGGAGGCCGCUGGUUCAAAUCCAGCCCCCGCCACCA